rnacentral:rRNA from 1 species
UACGUAGGGGGCAAGCGUUGUCCGGAAUCAUUGGGCGUAAAGAGCGUGUAGGCGGCCCGAUAAGUCCGCUGUGAAAGUCCAGGGCUCAACCCUGGAAUGCCGGUGGAUACUGUCGGGCUCGAAUCCGGAAGAGGUGAGUGGAAUUCCUGGUGUAGCGGUGAAAUGCGCAGAUAUCAGGAGGAACACCAAUGGCGAAGGCAGCUCACUGGGACGGUAUUGACGCUGAGACGCGAAAGCGUGGGGAG